UUUAAUGAGAGUUUGAUCCUGGCUCAGGACGAACGCUGGCGGCGUGCCUAAUACAUGCAAGUAGAACGCUGAGGUUUGGUGUUUACACUAGACUGAUGAGUUGUGAACGGGUGAGUAACGCGUAGGUAACCUGCCUCAUAGCGGGGGAUAACUAUUGGAAACGAUAGCUAAUACCGCAUAAGAGUAAUUAACACAUGUUGGUUAUUUAAAAGGAGCAAUUGCUUCACUGUGAGAUGGACCUGCGUUGUAUUAGCUAGUUGGUGAGGUAAAGGCUCACCAAGGCGACGAUACAUA
rnacentral:rRNA from 1 species